UUCAUUAAAAAUAUAUUGUCAAUCUGGCUCAACGCUACAUGUUUUAAAGCAUCGUAACGUUGCUAAUACACAGAGAUAUCAUGCUCGCUUUACCUGAAGCACGAGAUGCACGGACUUCCCACAUCUAUGUUAAA